CAGCAGCCACGGUAAUACGUAGGGUGCGAGCGUUAAUCGGAAUUACUGGGCGUAAAGCGUGCGCAGGCGGUUCGUUAAGACAGAUGUGAAAUCCCCGGGCUUAACCUGGGAACUGCAUUUGUGACUGACGGGCUAGAGUAUGGCAGAGGGGGGUAGAAUUCCACGUGUAGCAGUGAAAUGCGUAGAGAUGUGGAGGAAUACCGAUGGCGAAGGCAGCCCCCUGGGCCAAUACUGACGCUCAUGCACGAAAGCGUGGGGAGCAAACAGGAUUAGAUACCCGCGUAGUCCCUGUCUCUUAUAC
rnacentral:rRNA from 1 species